rnacentral:rRNA from 1 species
UACAGAGGUGCCAAGCGUUAGGCGGAAUCACUGGGCUUAAAGGGCGCGUAGGCGGGCUGUCAAGUUUGGGGUGAAAUGCCACGGCUCAACCGUGGAACUGCCUCAAAUACUGACGGUCUCGAGGGAGGUAGGGGCGAGCGGAACUAAUGGUGGAGCGGUGAAAUGCGUUGAUAUCAUUAGGAACUCCGGUGGCGAAGGCGGCUCGCUGGACCUUUUCUGACGCUGAGGCGCGAAAGCUAGGGGAGCAAACGGG